GUUUCAAUCCCUCACAGGUAGGCUACAAAC
rfam:Armatimonadetes bacterium DC isolate DC genome assembly, contig: DCOP10_118